CUCCACCAUACUGUCGUCCCAGAAGUCCAGUCGCACGGAUUUAACUUUGCUGACGUCUGGGAAGUUGCGGUGGACGCCAGAGCAGUGAAGACAGAUGAAAAUCCCCAGAUUCCCACCCUUUGGCACAGCGACACCAACGAGACCUCGGAAGGAGGAACCGAGAAGAAGGGGCAAGUGAGGGACCCGCUCGGAGGCUCAGGGCUGGGAGCCGCAUCAGCAUCCUCAGGGUCAACGCGCCGCAGUGAAGGGUCGCGGGGGCCCAGGAGGCAUCGGAGCCCCGCAGUCGGCGCAGUGCGUGUUGCCGGUGCCCGCAGCUUGCAGCAGCUCCAGCAGCCGUUUCUUGUUGCGCUCACGGUCGCCCAUGGCCGGACCGGAGGUCUCAGCGGGGCUUAGCUGCGCCGACUCCGCGCUUC